AUGCUCAACCUCUUCAAAACAUGUAUUUAAACAAUAGAAAUAAACUUCACUGGGGUCUGGCUACCAAUUUGGAAGCCAUUGGAAGGGAAGACAAUAAGUCCUGAUUACACUCAAGGAUUCUCUGUGAUGUGAUAUCCCCUUUGCCAAGUAAUUUUGCUGUUUUAUUUAUUUAUUUUCUUUUUUUUUUUUAACAAACUUUCAUUCAUUUAUGGUCUUCCGCAACCUGCUAAUUUAACACUGGAGCGCGUUAUUGCAGUGUUAGGAGGAGAGAAAGAGGGAGAGAAAACAACAAUACUGCAAUGAUCCAAAUGAUACAGUAGAAUUAUAGCAAUUAUAGUUCUACUUGUGGAAGAAAACCUUGCUGAGAUCAGGCAAACAAACUGAAGCCUUGUGAGGAUAACAAGCGUCGGGAUUGACAGCCGGUGCUGGGAAGAGCCGGAGGGCACAAACAGAAAUAUUUGCCUCACCCCUACCCCCCCUUAACUCCAACCAGCCAAGGUUAACUUCCUCAGAUGCUGCCUUCAGAGUCUUAUCCACUUCGGGGUAUACAUUUCAUGCACAAAUCGUGGUCUCUCCUCGUGGAAGCCUGAUAAUAGGAGGAAAUAGGACAUAAUCCGCUUGCCUAGCACUUGCCCCUCGCCUUGUCUGCCCCCUGCUUGCCCUCCACCCCCCACCCCUGCCUCAGUCCUCCCCAAGGCUGCUGGGAUCCGUCCGUGGACGGUGUUGUUUGUUGAUGUGUUUUCCAAGGAUCAGCCCUUGGAAACGUCCAAAGGGACUGACAACUUGGAUUGCUAGGGAAGACUCCUUGGCGUGUGUCGUGCCCCCUUCUUCGCCGUGUAGUCCGCCCGAACCCCGAGCUCCGCCAGCACCGCUCAGCUGGGAGAGGUUUGCUGGGAAGCAGAGCUUUCGGGAGCGUCCCGAGGAGCGCGGCCGAGCCCUCAAGGUUUCCAGACCAGAGAGGGAAACUUGUCGGCGCCCUGUAAUCACCACCAUCUGGUUUCUCCUCUGCAGCCGCCGGACGGCGGGCCCCUGGGUGCGGCCAGGGUCGAGGCGGCCGCCGAGCGGCCAGCGUUGUUCCGCAGCUGUUGCUCCCGGCGCCCCCGGACCUGGGGGGUGUAGGGCGCACGGAUUGCAGCUCACGUCAGGAGCAGCGAGGGACCCGACGCCCGCGUCAGUCCCGAGGCCCAAGCAGACCCCCGCGGUCGGCGUCCUCGCCGCGGAGCCCCCCUCUCGGCUCGGCUCGGCUCGGCUCGGCGCCACGGCCAGAGCGCGCCCCCUAGCGGGGGUCUCCGGGUGGGCCGGGCCCUUCCCCGCAGCCUCUGGGCGCUGAAGUUGGCAGAUCCCAGUGAUACUGCAGGAAUGAAUGGGGGAAGAAAACAAAAGCCUUGGAAACAUUUCCAAGUGUGCAAUAAAAGACCCAUCUGUACCUUUCUUCUCCAGCGCGUUCGUGGUUAAAUGCCCCCCCCAUACGCGCGAGAGGGGAGAUAAUUGCUGGGUGGAUUCUUGCUGGAGAACCUCAGGAAACACUGGCCCGAGAAGUGGAAUAAUUGGGGGUGGGGCGAGGCGAGCGUGCAGAGGCUGCCACACCAGCCUGAGAUCUGAUUCCGCUGUCUCUGGG
rnacentral:lncRNA from 1 species